rnacentral:piRNA from 1 species
UGCUCAGUGAUGAUCGUAGUGACGGGGU